rnacentral:misc_RNA from 1 species
GAUGAAGAACGUAGCGAAAUGCGAUAAGUAGUGUGAAUUGCAGAAUUCAGUGAAUCAUCGAAUCUUUGAACGCACAUUGCGCCCCUUGGUAUUCCAUGGGGCAUGCCUGUUCGGGCGUCAUUUGUACCUUCAAGCUUUGCUUGGUGUUGGGUGUUUGUCUCGCCUUUGCGUGUAGACUCGCCUUAAAAUAAUUGGCAGCCGGCGUAUUGAUUUCGGAGCGCAGUACAUCUCGCGCUUUGCACUCAUAACGACAGCGUCCAAAAGUACAUUUUACACUCUUGACCUCGGAUCAGGUAGGGAUACCCGCUGAACUUAAGUAUAUCAAUAAGCGGAGGA